CUUCUCUUCUCAACAACGGAUCUGUGGCCCAGCUCGACCCGGUGUCUUUCAGGCACUCGGGCUCAGUUGCGGUCAGCACGACAAAAUCAUCCUUAUGGAGCCGCUUCUUCACUUCCGUAGCGUCAAUUUCCAGUCGGCAGAUCCGUGAGCAAUGCCCUGCGCGUCGUCUUGCCUGAGUCUUUCCUCUCUUUCCGUUCCUACCGCCGGCGAGACUUCUCUAAAAAGUAGCCUUGAUGCCUCUUCGUGAGGCAUCGGUGAGCUCGUCGGCGAAGGACGGGGAGAACAUGGGGGAAGAUGAGAGGCGAUGCUAGGGGUGGGCGUCAUAUUCCUGAGCCUUUUCGUCGAUCGUCGAUCACUGACGUCUGGGACAAACCAUGAUGCAUACAAAU
rnacentral:sRNA from 1 species